rnacentral:rRNA from 1 species
UGGGGAAUAUUGGACAAUGGGGGCAACCCUGAUCCAGCAAUGCCGCGUGUGUGAAGAAGGCCUGAGGGUUGUAAAGCACUUUCAGUGGGGAGGAGAGAUGACAGGUUAAGAGCCAGUUAUUGAGACGUUACCCACAGAAGAAGCACCGGCUAACUCCGUGCCAGCAGCCGCGGUAAUACGGAGGGUGCGAGCGUUAAUCGGAAUUACUGGGCGUAAAGGGUGCGUAGGUGGUUGCAUAAGUUAUCUGUGAAAUCCCCGGGCUUAACCUGGGCAGGUCAGAUAAGACUGUGUGACUCGAGUAUGGGAGAGGGUAGUGGAAUUUCCGGUGUAGCGGUGAAAUGCGUAGAGAUCGGAAGGAACACCAGUGGCGAAGGCGGCUACCUGGCCUAAUACUGACACUGAGGCACGAAAGCGUGGGGAGCAAACAGG